ensembl:lncRNA
GAAUCUGCUCUUUGAAGAGUUCCAAAUGGCAUUGUUCUUAUGACUGAUACAUUGAAAUCCAUGGCUGUAGUCCUGACGGAUCUAAGCGCUGCGUUUGAUUUGUUAGAACAUUCUUAUGGUCCUCAUGCACGGAUGCUAGUUAACCACAUUUUGUGUAUUAAUCCUACGCUUUAAAUAAAAGUCGACUCUUUUACUUUCAACCCUUUUAGUCAUUUAAGAGCAGCAUGCAUCCACUAGUUCAAUGCAUGCUUUCAUAGAUUCAAUAUUGAAAUUUCUUUUUGUUAGAAUAAUAAUAAGGGCUAACUGACCCCACAAUGACACAAUUAGCCACAGAUUGAAAAUAUGAAUGUCAUGCUGUUCAAUCUCUAUUGCCGAUGUGAUUAUUUCAUGAGGUCCAAACUAAAGUCUGUAUAUCUGACAGUAUCCUGAGAUGUGCUGCUAUGCCAGACUGUUUCUGAAUAUCAGUGCCAGUUCCAGCCCAGCCUGUGUGCUCUGUGUGUGUAAAGGGCUCAUUCCAGCUCUGUCUGUCUACUUGGUGUGAGUAUACAGUGCUUGUUCCAGCUCAGUCUGUGUGCCUGGUGUGUAUCAGCAGCUGCUGGCUCUGUAGAGGUGCAAACAUUCACCAACUGUUCAGUACGGAGCAGUGAAUCUUGUUGCUAAGGUAACAGUCCAUCUCGAGCACAGGUACAGUGAACUUGUUCAGGAGUCAAAGAAUGACAUUGAAUUAUGAAAGCUGAGUGGACUUAGUCUAAAGAAUACGUUUACUGUCCUGGAAACUGAAACAGCAUGCAGAGAUAAUGAAGCAGUUUCAUUGUCGUUGAAGUUGGCUAAGAUUUGAUUUAAUUCUAGGCUAAAACCAGGUUGUUAUGAUCACCAUUACUAUACGCUUACAUUUUUACAAUUACAGUAGAUAAAUACAAUUUAAUUCAAACUAAAUUGUCAGAAGAACACUUUUUAAUCGCAUACUCUCUUGCUCCUGUGUCUAGUCUGCCUCAUCUGUCCCCUGUAGUUUUCGAGUUUUUAAUUGGGUUGAACUUUGGAGGAGGUGUUAUUUGUUACAUAAAUAUGUUCUGAAUUAAAUGAUUAGGUCAGGAAUAGAAAUGAUUCAACAUCUCUGCCUAUAAUUUUACCAGUAAUGUAAUAAACAGCAUUAGAUAUAACUUAUAAAUAGGUAAACAGUGUGGUGUGAAGUUCUUUAAUAAAAAAAAAAAAUAAAAAAAAAAAUAAAAAUUUUUGUUGGCGUGGUUUAAGAUGGAAUAAAACAUUUCGGGACAUGCUGUUAUAGGAAAAUAAUCAACUUUAGAGGGGAAAAAAAACCAUCACACUACCUGUUAUUGAUCAUUUACCUAUAACAACACCUUGGGUAUAACCUACUGAAAAAUGUUUGGAUGUUCUAGUGCUGCUGUGAGUCACCUAGGAAAGCUUAAAUUAAAGCAAAAAUGUCAAUUAAAAGCUGUCAGGAAAGGCAAUAUGUUGUUCCACACUGGCUCCACAACUGUAGAUGUGACUUUUUAACCAACCAGGCACAGUCAUCCAUGGACUUGGCUGUGAAGUACUAGGCAUUCCUAGCUCUGUCCACUAGGGGCACUAUUGGACAAAGCUACUGAUAACCCUCAGCAUGCUUAAAAAAAAAAAAAGAAAGAAAGAAAAAAAGAAAGAAAAUAAAAAAGAUGAAAACAGCUCCUAGUAUUGCAACAAUUAUCUCCAGAUCCAGGAUACAGUGCCCAUUGAAGAUGGAGGAAUGAAUAUUUUAAACAUGUUACAUGUGGGUUUAUAUUUAUAUUUAUGGCAUUUAACAGACUCCAUAACCAGAGCGACUUACAUUUACCUGAUUCAUACAACUGAGCAGUUGAGGGUUAAGAGCCUUACUCAAAGCUGCCACUGCAGGGAUUUUAACUUAUGACCUUCCAAUAAGGUUUAAAUGAAAGGCACAAUCAGCAUUGAGUACAUGCUACAGUAGCUGUGUUUAGCAUUGCUGUCACUAUAGUUACCUGAAUGAGAUUUCUGUCAAAACCCAAGAGGACUUAAUGUGCCUGUACACACACAAACCAUACACCUAACUGAGAAACACAAAAAAGGGUGAACAUUCAUCUUGAUCACUUGAUCUUGAAUCCACUUGAUCUUCCAAAAGAUUUCAUAAUACAAUAGCCUUAGGCUUUAAAGCAAACACACACACAAAAAAACACUGAAAACGACCCAUCGAUCACGCUCGAAAUGAAAGUUUAAAGUUCUGCAAAUGCAUAUGCAAAUUGAGUUCAAGAACCACACGCCCACAUUAGUAUACAAUCGGUUCAAAUAACCGUAAGUUGUUUUUCUCGCUAGUUUUGUGAGCACUUACAAAAUAAUAGCAAAUUUAACCAGGGACGUGCAUAGAUAGUUUGUGGGGCAGGGGCUCAUGUGGGAAAAAGGGCACUUCUCAUAAUUAUUUAUUUAAAAACAUUUUAAAAAUCAUAAAACGAAAUGUUAGAUAUAUUAACCCAACUCUGACUUCCUUACCAAUUUAUUUUAAUUCCCUCACACUCACGCAAUUAUUUCAUACUCAACAGAUUUCUACAAAAUAAUCAGCUCACACAGAGACCGUGGUCUUCUUUAGUAUUUCACUAUGUUUAUCACAAGAGCAGGCAACAGCAAAGGAAACUAUGACACAAUGUUUUCAAUGCCACUAGUUUCAAGUAUAUAUUUAGAAUAAAUGACUGCACCAAGGAGACACAGUUUCACUAAUAAUUUCUUUAUUUUGCACAAGGCAAUAAACCGUUUUAAUUCUUUUGGUGUCAUUGGAAUACAUAACACUUCAAAAUAAACAAAAAUCUUCACACUAAACUGCCAAAAUACACCUUUAGAUUCAUGUUUGUUUUAAGCCUGCUACCCUCAGUCUGUUUUCAUCUGUGGAUUUCUUCUAAAUGAAUCAAAACAAGCUAAUCUGCAGAUUUAAACAUAACAUUUCAGGGGAAAAGACUCUUGAUGUUAAGUCAUUAACUGAGGAACUUCUGUGCUUUAGUAAUUUUGUUUAUCCUAUUCACCUGCAGUGCCUUAUCAAAUGUAUGCAAAUUAGCAUGUUUUAAUUAGUCAACGCCUAAUUUGCAUAUGAAUGUGGCGAUUGUGAUGACGUUAUUAGACAGAAAUUUGACUGUAU